UACGUAGGGUGCAAGCGUUGCCCGGAAUUAUUGGGCGUAAAGAGCUUGUAGGCGGUUUGUCGCGUCUGCUGUGAAAUUUCGGGGCUCAACCCCGAACUUGCAGUGGGUACGGGCAGACUAGAGUGUGGUAGGGGAGACUGGAAUUCCUGGUGUAGCGGUGAAAUGCGCAGAUAUCAGGAGGAACACCGAUGGCGAAGGCAGGUCUCUGGGCCAUAACUGACGCUGAGAAGCGAAAGCAUGGGGAGCGAACAGG
rnacentral:rRNA from 1 species